CAAGCUAGAAAGAUAACAAUUAGAUUUUGAUAAGAACAAUAAUUAUCUAUUAAGGACAGUGCUGUUGAGUGCCAACCUACAACUCUGUGAUAUCUAUUAUCCAAGGAAAACCAACACUGAUCGAGCUCUGAGAAAAAGAAAGACAGCCAAGGCUCAACUAAUCUUCGUUCUGAUACAGCUGACACAUAUAUUUUAAAAAAUGGGUCUUCGGGGAAUCGUGUUCUUAUUGGCUACCGCUAUCGUGAUUGUCGCUCUUAUUUCGCCAACUCAUGCCACAACUGGUCCUUGGGGAGGCAGUGGAAGAAAGAGAACAUUUUCAAAGCUUAGCAGACCAGAAGAGGCAGAGAAAAGAAGAAUGAAUCUCUACGAACCAAAAAUUCUACCAGAAAUGUUCAAGAGAUGGGAGAUAAUCGAACGAACGAGAAACGCACAAAGGAACAAUGAAUACCAAUAAAUUAGUGAAUAAUAAAUGGUAUAUUAAAAAUUGCAGCUAUGCACAAUGUAACGCUACAACUCGAAAGUCUUUAGGGGUGAUCAAGAGGGAUACUAGUAGAGACUGUGUUGUUAGGCCAACGUGGUAAUAUAAACAUGAAUGAAAUGUUGAAUUAAAAAGGAGAAAAAGGUUGUAAUAAAGCACUCUUUGAAUCGUUUAUGGUUGGUAAUAAAUAUGCCCAACUAUGGUA
rnacentral:lncRNA from 1 species